rnacentral:rRNA from 1 species
UGCCAGCCGCCGCGGUAAUACGAAGGGUCCUAACGUUGUUCGGAUUUACUGGGCGUAAAGGGCGCGUAGGCGGACUUUCAAGUCGGAUGUGAAAUCCACAGGCUUAACUUGUGGCUUGCAUUCGAUACUGUUGGUCUUGAGUAUAUCAGAGGAAAGCGGAAUUCCAGGUGUAGCGGUGAAAUGCGUAGAUAUCUGGAAGAACACCAGUAGCGAAGGCGGCUUUCUGGGGUAAUACUGACGCUGAAGCGCGAAGGCUAGGGGAGCAAACAGGAUUAGAUA